rnacentral:rRNA from 1 species
AACGAACGCUGGCGGCAGGCCUAACACAUGCAAGUCGAACGUGAAGCCACCUUCGGGUGGUGGAAAGUGGCAGACGGGUGAGUAACGCGUGGGAACGUGCCUUUCGGUUCGGAAUAACCCAGGGAAACUUGGGCUAAUACCGGAUACGCCCUUCGGGGGAAAGAUUCAUUGCCGAAAGAUCGGCCCGCGUCGGAUUAGCUAGUUGGUGGGGUAAAAGCCUACCAAGGCGACGAUCCGUAGCUGGUCUGAGAGGAUGACCAGCCACACUGGGACUGAGACACGGCCCAGACUCCUACGGGAGGCAGCAGUGGGGAAUCUUGCGCAAUGGGCGAAAGCCUGACGCAGCGACGCCGCGUGCGGGAAGAAGGCCUUCGGGUUGUAAACCGCUUUCAGGAGGGACGAAGCCACUCGGGUGAAUAGCCCAGAGGGUGACGGUACCUCCAGAAGAAGCCCCGGCUAACUACGUGCCAGCCGCCGCCGUAAGAC